UUUAACUUGAGAUAUCAAGAACACUGGUUGUUUCUGGCCAGUAUUUGCAAGAAAUGGCAAAGUCUAAUUUAGGCACAUAUGAGUGCAUCCCCAGAGAUUCCUGGAAAUAUGUAGAGAGGGUUCUGUUAGACUGGUGUUCUCCAUGAAGCAGGUGGGAAUUUGACCAUACGCAUUUGUAUACUGAUGUUAGAGUGGUCCCAUUACAGACAAUGUAAAAUGUAUCUGUAUGUUCACAGUUGAGCUGAGAAUCAUUUUGGUGAGAUGAAAACUGUCAGGCCAUCUCAUUUUCCUUUGAAAACACGGGAGUUUUUAAAUCUCACCUUCAUUUUGUUUCCUUAUUGGUCUUCCUAGAAAGUAAUCAUGAGAAAACCAAGGUUGAUAUUUAAAAAAUAGACCAGAAGCAUAGGAGGUGUACUCUCAGCGUUUUAUCUGAAUUACACGGGGAUGGCCUACUGGGUGCCCCACAGAAUGGGUAUUCUCCUUUGCUCUAUAGAAACCUUCCCAACCCUUCACCCAACUCCUACACUUGGUUUGUUAUACUAAACCUAAGAGGAAUUUAACAUAUCUGGCAUGGCAUAGAGAUGUACUUUAUUGCUAAAAUUGCUUCUCUGGCAUCGUUUACCAGUUAUGCUUGACCCCAAGAGCUCAAGAAGUAUGCUUUCCCUCAUAUUCAAGCACACAUAUCGAUGAUUAUUAGAUUGGAUUAUUUGAGUUUUGAGGGCUGAGGACUGCUUAGUUCGUCUUGGUCAAGUAAUGUUUGCUGAAUAAAUGGAUUCAUUUUAUACACUACAUUGUAUCUACAAAUCCCUUCCAUUAUCUCUUCAUUGUCUUUUUUUUGACCUUCUCAAAUACCAGGUAAGAAUGGAAGACAAACAAGUAUUAUUUUUAACAGAUGAAUAAAACUCACCUUAGAAAGGUUAAGGGACAUGCUCAAAAUCUUGCUCCUAGGAAAUGACAGAACCAGACAUUGGAUUCAUAUUUUCUGUUGCAAAAGUCUCUAUUUUUCCCAUAGAGUUCAGAUGUUUGUUAUCUACCCAACGAAAGUGACCACCAUCAUUUGCUGAAAUAUCCUGAGCUCCUCCUUGCAGCGUGCACGGAUAUUUAUAUUUUAUUCUCAACUUCUCAUCUUCUUGCUCCUUUCCAAACAUGAACACUAUGCUGACCACUAAACAUGACAUAACAAGAAGAGCUCACAGGUGGAAAUAGGGAGAUUCAGGCUCUUCUAUAGGGCCUGCACCAGUGCCAAAAAUAAAGUACAGGAUGUAUUAUUUCUCUGGGAGGAGCUUACAAUCUAAUCUCAUUGUUUGCGGAACUAACGAAGCAAACUCCCCUUGAGUUGCCUGAAAUGCUGGCCAGUUCAGUGGCUCUCCAAGGGUAGAUGGCAGUCCAAGGGAGCUAUGGCACUCUCAGACUGUGUUUUGUCAUCUGGGAAUGCCUCAGUUCCUAAAUUGAACUGAAUCUAUGAAUUUGCAAUUGUCUCAUGCAUUUCCUUACUGUCUCCCCUUCUGCCCUGGUUUGGUCUUUUCCCCAGUCUGUAGACCCUUCAUGGCUCUAGAAAGACAACCUUCUGUAAAGACCUGGAUCCCCCAUCAAUGCGCUGAAAUCUGGACCCUACAGAUUUCAAUCCUGAAGCAAGUGGGAAAACCACGGAGACAUGUUGAAUGUUGCAUUACCACCUGAGGCAAAUUUUCUUUUUGAAAAAUUUCAACAGGGAUUGAAUGUCCAUCUACAGCGUAAUUGGACAACAGCUUUCCUCUUUCUCUGCAGGUUCCUGCCAGGACUUCAAACAAUGAGUAAGGCAGGUCACUGCCAGGUUUGCACGAUGAAUUUGGGAGGAAGUAGGAAAAGGGGAAGAAAGGCCAAGUCUUAUAAGGUGUGAUUUAAUUUUAAAAAUGCUUAUGCUGCUCUUUAUAAGAAUAUCCAUUUAACUGGAUUUCUUUCUUGCUGACAAAAGAGGCAACUGCUGUAUAUAAAAUAAAUCUGAUUAAAACUCUUUCUCUGUUCCUUUCAAGGUAAAGGGUGCAGAGCCCAGGAACAGAACACAUUUGGAUUCCUGGCGUGUGCAAAUGAUUGUUUAUGGGAUGUCUGGUGCCAGGACCCACAGAAGGCUCUUGUACGGCCCUGUAAAAGUAGAGGGAAUGGAAAGCUUUUCCUUAGGCAUAAAAAGUUUAGUUUAUUUCUCAUUCUCUUUCACAGUGGUAGCUAUUACUUUGUAAUUUUGUUGGCAUUUUGUUGGCAGCCCAAAACGACAGAAAUCAUAUCCCUUGCUUACAGUGUGCAGUUCUGAUUCAUUUUGUUUAGCCCAAGUCACCACAUAUAAUAAAGGCAGCAGCUGCUAGGCCUUAUGCAUAGGUCUAAGCUGGAGCAAGUUCCUUUAGGCGAAGUCUUCAUCAGAAGGCUGAGCGAGUUCACACCCUUUCCUCUCCUCUCUCCCAGCAGGGUUUUUAGAACGCAGCAAAUAGCAAGAAAUGAAUACAGUUUUCGCAAUUAUAAUCGACGUCUCUUCUCUUCGGCAUCCGACUGAGCAAACAACCUCUUUCAGGCCAGUCAAGUACCAUUUCAGAGAAUCCUAUCUGCAUGGUGUUAUCUGGACGGCGGGAGGCCGUGAGUCAUAGACACAGGGCCAAGUAUCCGACCUGAAAUAGCCAAGUGUCUGAGAACGGGAGCCGUCUCCCAGGAUGUGGGUCAGGUGUGAGGAGCCGCUAGGAGCCAGGACCAUCCGGUCAACGUUUAGUCAAAGAACGAAGUCAGCACCCCAGGCAGGCACACGGAGCUGUGGAUGCGUGGAGACGCCGGUUGUCAAGAGAAGCGGUGUGCCGGCAACAGGGAGGCACAGAUGCUGACGGACGAGGUGUUUUGGGCUGACAAAGGUCUGAGUAGACGGUCACGAAUCAGGGGACCCGUGGUGGCCAGAAAAACACAACGAAGGCCACUGGAGAGCGGCUUGGCUUCCGUAGCGGAAGCCACCCCUCUGCAGCCAAAGGACUUUUAUGUGCUGCUUCUGUUAAAGGAAGGAAUAGCAGCCUUGUGUGGCUUGUGUAGAGCCUUCAGAUGCAAACAAGCCAAUUGGCCACUGAUGCUGAAUAUGGCCUUGGGUGGGGAAACGCCUUCUUGAAAAUAUAAAGCGUGCAUUCACGCACACUUUACUUAGAGUAGUUAAUCAGGAAUGGAAUUAUGGAGAAGCCUAAACACUCCCGUGCCAUGAGUGGCUUUUGAUAUGGCCAUAUUUCUACAGGUGAGUAAACCAAGACCCAGGUAAAUGUGCCAUGUGUGCACCAGUAUUAGAGAAAGUGGUGCAAGAUGUCCCGGACACAGCCUGUGCUGUCUGGACAACAGAUAGGAGCAGCAGAUCAAGUUCCUUAAUUGGGCACAGGGAUUACGAUUUUGCAAGAGAGGUAUGUCGGAGGUAGUUUGUGAGUGAUAUUGAGUGAUAAAAUAGUAUCAAUAUUGAUGAUGGCGAUAUGGUGAUGAUUAUAAGGGUGGUAGUUUUAAUUAGACGAAGGAGGAGGAAGAAAAGGAGACGUGCAGAAUCUAACUUACAUGUAAUAGGCUGAACAAGCUAGAAUUCAUCUUUGAGAUAGGACUGCAUGACUCCCUGGGGGCAGAGACCAGGCCUUUUUCCUGGCUUCGUGCCCAGCGUCUUGCCCCGUACCUGGCCCUGCCUAGACGUGCUAUUAACAUUAUAGAAGAGAAAGCACCAGCGACCGUGACCCCUGACCAUGCCAGGGAUGGUAUACAAUCGGUAUGAAUUGUGUCCCCCUGGGUGGCAGAGUCUGUAGCAUGGACUUGAGAUACACUGUGGUUUGGCCCUGGUCCAUUCUUACCUCACUCAUUUGUUUGAGGCAAGCGGUUUUUGCCUCAUUGAUUUUCACUGCUCAUCGGGUCCCAUUAGCCUAUUCAUUAGUAACAGCUUCAUUCGCUUCCCACAUACUCUGUCUCCUGAACGACAUUUCUUUGUGUCAUUAGCAGGGACCACGAUGGCGGUGCAUCAGCGGAAUGUGGCAUUUCCAGCAGGGCCUGCUGGCUGGCAAGUACCACUCUGCCACACUGGUACUCACAGGGAGGGGACAGCCAUUUUAAUUACAAAGGACUCAGAGCAUUGGUUGUCAAACUGACAUUAGAGUUCUAAUCUCUUUCACUCAUUCUCUCUCAUGCGCAAACACACACGCACCCACACCUUGACUCGAGAAUGCCUUUCUCUAUCAUGUCAGGUACUUCAGAUUCCCUUUUCCAAAUGUGAACCCGUUUUUGUGACCCCAGACCUGGUCUUUCUCCAGAUUCCAUCUUCCCUCUGGAAUCACUCUUGCCCCAUCCACCAAACUUGAGGCCCAGAGUCAUCUGUGACUCCUUGCUCUUUGCUCUUCCCUACAUGUGACCAGACACCAGGAUCCAAUCAGGCUUCCAGAGUAACAGUGCUUGAGCCCUCCCCUUCUGUCCUUGGUCACUGCCACUGCUCCGGCACACCUGCCUCUUAGCUUUCACCUGGAACUCACCCCUGCAGCUUUUGUGGGCUUCAGACUUCUCCAUCCUUCUGGCUCCUCCUCUCGGGGACCAUGAGGGUAGAGAGUGGAAAGGUUAUGGGGGAGUACAGACUCCAGGCAUGGGAGAUAAAUUCAUGAUAGCAAACAUUUAUUGAGCACUUUCUAGGUGCCAGGCACCAGUCUUGACAUGACCCCACUUAAUCCUCACAAAAACCUAAAGGUGGAUGCUGUUAAUUAUCUCCGCAUUUAACAGGUAAGAGAGCCGAUGCUAAGAAAUUUAAGUGACGCAUACAGUUCACAUACUAGAAAGUGGCAGAACUGGGACUCAAGCCGGGCUUGCCUGCCUCUGAGAUCCUUGUGAUUUUUGUGACAACCUCCUACCUGUCUAGUUGCUCAAGAGCAGAACUUCUCGAUCACCUGGAGGACUCAUUAGAACACCCCCACAGUUUCUGAUUCAGUACAUCUGGGAUGAGGCCAAGAGUUUGAGGAUUUGCAUUUCUAACAAGUUCCCAGGUGAUGCUGAUCCAGGGACCACACUUGGAGAACCAUCAUGGGAGGUGGCGUUUGUUUGGAGCCCUUUCUCCCUAGGCACAGCAUGAGUGGAUGGAAAUUCAGAUGUUCAGACUGGUUUCAAGUGGAGGAUCCACCAUUCACUAGCUCUGUGUCUCUGGGCCACACAAUACAACCUCAGCGAACCUCCUUUGCCUUUUCUAUAAAAUGGGAAUGUUUGAGGACUGGAAAUCAUGUGCAUAAAGCUCUGAGCUCUGUCACUGGCACAGAGUAGAAUUUAGUAUGUUACAGCUGUUUACAAGUAUGACCCCUUUUAGUUUAUUUCUGCCUUUUCAUUCUCUCUCUCUCUCUCUCUCUCUCUUAGACACUUUGCACUUGAUAUUCCUUACAUUUGGAUGUUAUUUUCCAGAUUUUUGCAUAGCUCACUCCUCACCACUGGAAUUUCCACUAAGACAGAGCACCUCACAGAGGCUUGGUCCUAGAGGAGGGAGCCCCCAAGCAUGUGGGUAUUGUUUGUUUGGUGGGUAGAUUUGUAAGUACUGAUCCAGUUUUUGGAAUGAUCAGAGAUCUAUUCAGGUCCCUAGUCUAUAAAUAGUUUUCAGCUUUGGCUUUGAAGAUAAUUAUUCAUUUUCCUAAGUUGUCAAAUGUAUUGGCAUACACAAAUUCACUGGUUAUAUUAACAUAUUUUUAGCUUCUAGCUAUCAGUAUUCUAGCCCUUUCACUUCUGACUUUUUCUUUAACAACUUCUCUUCUUUUUUAUUGAUCAUCCUUGCAUAAUUUGUCCCUGUAAUUAGUCCUUAAAAACCCCAUUAUCUGGUAUAAUCUUUGUUUUCUAUUUCUCUGGUUGAUUUCAUUCCUUUUUUUCCUUCUUUCCUUCUUCCUGCCACUUAAGUUGGAUGCACAGAUCUCUACUAGUGUUUUUCCAUUUCUUUGACAAGCCUUUACAGCUGUAAAUGUCCCUUGGAUUUCACAUAUCUUCCUCUCCUGAUGUUUCUCAUAUGUCUUUCAAUAUAUCUGAGCUAUUUGAGCAACCUAAAUCUGCUGGAAUUCAGGAGGGCCUCAAUUCAGACUGAGCAGAGGAUUUUUCUCUGGUUUUGGCCAGGUGCCCAGGGCACUGACCGUCCUGGGUUAAUUUCUCGGUUUAGGGUUUCCCAGCUCAUGCAGGUGGUACACAUUUAAAGCUCAAAUCCACACAAGGGCAGAGCUGUGGUGAUGAAUUCUCGGGAGAGACCAUUUUCUGCUUCCUUCUGGAUUUAAAGCCAAGACAGAAGUUCUUUCGUCACCUCCUUCAGAAGGUCUUCCUGGGAAUAUUGACACUGUAAGCCUUUACCCCAGAGGAAGCUGGUGCUGCUUGUGGGGAAGCCCUUUGCACAGCCACGUAGCCCUGUGAAACACUUGAUUCCGCCGAACUGUGUGCAUGAAAAAGAAAAAAGCUAUAAUUUGAAAAAGUUCCUGCAGAAUUGUCUCGUGAAAGUCAGAGAAACAGAUGUGCUGGAGAGAAUAGGUAAAAAGGGGAUCCUUCACAAAGGAACAUCGUCAUGCCUUGCAUCAGACUCAAAGAUCUGUCCCAAUCUUUCAAGCCCCACCACACCCUCUCUGCAUACUGCCGCGCAUCUGGGCAAGCCCAUAGGAGAUCCCAUGUGCUCUCUCUCUUGUCAUCUGCAAGUUCAAACUACGCAAACCAUUUUCAGACCUGCUAGGGCCUGGUCUGAAAACCUAGGGCCCAGGAAGCCCAUGACGGGAGUAAGUAAUUUUUUCAUAUUGUCUUGGUGCAUGUUUGGCAUCAUUCAUCUCAGUAGCCAAAUCAGAUGUUGUCUUGAGGCGUCUAUCUCUUUCCUGUGCAAUGACCAUAAUAAGGCUUCUUAGUUGGCUGACAUAACCCUACUUCAUGACCUGUUUCAGUACUUACAAUGGUGUUUGCUUUAUAACUCAUUAAGAUAUGUAUUUAUCGUGUGUGCAAUUGUCUGUAUCUGUAUUUUAGUUUACAACAAAUCAAGUAAAAAUAGAAGCAACAACAAUAAUAGCAAUGACGUCUGUGGUACAUCUGUAGCCAUUGUAACACAUCAGUUUGGCAUCUCAGACUUGGAGCAAAACAUUUCUUGGAACCAAAGUACUUCGUAAGAUGGUGCUGGUUCCUUAGACUAACUUGUCACCUUAUGGGCUGCACAGGUGUCUGUGCAUAUGGAAAAAAAAAAAAACAAAUACAGCUACCUCCUCCAGACUAUGGACUGAAUUUAAUUAGAAAAGACUUUCGGACACUGUCAGGAAUAGGGCUUUAACCUUGACACGCAAAGUGUAUUAGUCUGGGUCCUCCUGAAUAAAAUCAAUUCCCUACAUGCCCCAUAUAUCCAAUGAUCUAUCAUUUAUUGUUUUUCCUUUUGUAUUUCAUACAAAGGUGAUCUGAAUUUUUUUUGGAUAAACUGCAGAGGUUACUUAAGGGAACAUACUCUACAUUCCUCCUAGUUCAUAUUACCUUGGACAUCAGUUCAAAAAGAAUCAAAUAAUUUACCAGUGUGCUUCCUUCAUUUUUAUAAGUCUGCAUUUAAUAGCUAAGUUGUAUUUUUGCACAACCAUUUUAUUGUAUUUGUAAAUUCAAGAGGAAAUGUAUCAAACCUAUGUAGUGAGUACUUAGUCUAAAUGUAAGUAAUUGAUAAACAAAAAAAAGAGGUCAUCAUAUUUUCUAUUAGCAAGUUUCCAAAGAGAUAUCUUACGUCAUUCUCUUUACUUUUUUGUAAUCUUGAAAUUUCAUUUGUAGACACUUGUCACUGCAAACUUUUCUCUUAGAACUGCUUUUGCUGAAUCCCAUAAGUUUUGGUAUGUUGUGUUUCCACUUCUUGUUUUAAGAUACUUUUUUAUGAUUUCUCUUUUGAUUUAUACUUUGACCCAUUGGUUUUUCAGAAGUGUAUUGAAUUCUUAUACAUCUGUGGAUUUCCCAGUUCUCCUCCUGUUAUUGAUUUCUAGUUUCAUACCGUUGUGGUUGGAAAAGAUACUUGAUAGGAUUUCAAUCUAAUUAAAUUUAUUAAGACUUGUUUUGUAUCCUAACAUAUGAUCUAUCCUAGAGAAUAUUCUAUGCUUAGGAGAACGUGUAUUCUACUCUUUCAUGGAAUGUUCUGUACAUUAAUGUUAGAUCUUUUGAUCUCAAGUAUCGUACAAGACCGAUGUCUUUAUACUGAUUUUCUGUAUGGAUGAUCUAUCCAUUGUUGAACGUGGAAGUGUUGAAAUCUCCUACUUUUAUUGUUUUGUUGUCUAUUUCUCCCUUCAGAUUUGUUAGUAUUUGCUAACAGGUUAGCAUGUUAGCAUGCCAACAUGUUAGUUGCUCCCAUGUUGGAUAGAUAUAUAUUUACAAUUGUUAUAUCCUAAUGAUGAAUUGACCCUUUGUUAUUAUGUAAUGACCUUUUUGUCUCUUGUUACAGUCUCACUUAAAAUCUAUUUUGUCUGAUAUAAGUAUAACCAUCCCUGCUCUCUUUUGGUUUCUAUUUGCAUAGAAUAUCUUUUUCCAUCUCUUCACCUUGAGAUUAUGUGUCUCCUUAAAACUGAAAUGAGUCUUGGGGCACCUGGGUGGCUCAGUCGGUUAGGCAUCCGACUUCAGCUCAGGUCAUGUUCUCGCGGUUUGUAGGUUCGA